rnacentral:lncRNA from 1 species
UGUGCCUCACAAAAUAUUGUAACAGUGCGCUGAAAAUAAGAGCCUCAUCUAACAAUUGUGCUCUAAAUCUGGUGAAAUCGAAUGGGCAAAACAUAUAUUUUAUUUUAUUGAAAUAAUGGCCUCUCCCUUCUCCCUUUCUGUUUAAGGAAUGGAACUAUAACCAAACCUUUGUGAGUUUAAAGAGCAAAGGCUCACAAAAGUUUGAAACUCCUAAAUUCAUGUCCGAGACGUAUCAUCUGAUACAUUCCUCUGGACAAACUUUCCUCGUAUACUUGCAGUCUCAUAAAGCAGGGGCUUCAUGCAUAAAAACAUAAACACUAGGCGCUUCAUGAACAAGGUAAUCAACUACAGCAGUAAGACCAGCAAAAAGAUUCCAUACCGUCAAUGAAACCAGCAACAAGAAUUCUUCACCAAUGUCCAUGUCAGUAAUAACAAUGAUUUUGAUUCAAUGAUCAUGAAUCGUGAUACAACAUAGUACUUUCAAUCGAAGCAUACAAACAUGUAAGAACAAAAAGAGCCCUAACACAUCAGAAACAUGAUCACUUUGACAUAAUUUCCCACAGAAACUGCAGUAC